CUCGGCUCCUUUGUUCAUGGAGUGCCACCACCAACUCCAUAACGGCUUCAACUACCUUCCUAAUGAGGAAAGCUUUGUGUGGAGCAAAAGAAUAAUCCAAACUCUUACUUUCUCUCUUCAUCUGAUUCUCAAUCUCACUUUCGCUUUGUCCAAAUUUUUUGAAAUUUUUUUGAAAUAGUUCAUUGGGGGCACUGUGUCUCCUUCUUAUCAUCUAGAAUUCUGUUUUAUUUCACUGUAUAAUACUGUUUUUUUUUUUUUUUUUUUUGGGUGUAUGGACUCUGUUUUUCCGGCUAAUCCCACGUUCGGAUUAGGCUCUGUAUCGGCUUCUCACGUAUAAUUUCGAGGAAAGAAUCGAGACCCAUUGAUUUUUAAUCAUGAAUCCGAUGUACCCUGUGAAGGAGGAGUUUCCAGGAUCGAGUUCCUCCCCCCAGUCCGGUGAGCCACCGGUAGUGCCACAGCCGGUUGAGGGGCUUCAUGAUGCGGGUCCUCCGCCAUUUCUUACAAAGACAUUUGACAUUGUGGAUGACCCAGCAAGCGAUCAUGUGGUCUCUUGGAGCAGAGCAGGUAGCAGCUUUGUUGUAUGGGACCCCCAUGCCUUCUCCACCAAUCUCCUCCCCAAAAACUUCAAGCACAAUAAUUUCUCAAGCUUUGUCAGGCAGCUCAACACUUAUGGUUUUAGAAAGAUUGAUCCGGACAGAUGGGAGUUUGCAAAUGAAGGAUUCAUCAGGGGUCAAAGACAUCUCCUAAAGAACAUCAGGAGAAGAAAGACACCUUCCCAGGCUCCUCCCCCACAUCAAGCUUUGGAUCCUUGUGUUGAAGUAGGAAGGUUUGGACUGGAUGGAGAAGUCGAUCGAUUGCAGCGUGACAAGCAUGUUCUGAUGAUGGAAUUGGUUAAGCUCAGGCAGCAGCAGCAGAAUACUAGAAUCACACUCCAAGCAAUGGAGCAAAGGCUACAAGGGACAGAGAUAAAGCAGCAACAGAUGAUGAAUUUCUUGGCAAGAGCAAUGCAGAACCCUGCCUUUAUUCAGCAGUUAGUCCAGCAGAAGGAGAGGAGAAAGAAGCUUGUAGAAGCCAUUAGUAAGAAGAGAAGAAGGCCUAUUGAUCAAGGGACUAGUGGAGCUGGAGGCACUGAAUCCAGCCAUGGCAAUGGAUUGAGGAACCCCAUUAAGAUUGAGCCUCUACAUUUCACAGAAGGAAAUGGCUUUGAAGUUUCAGAGCUAGAGGCACUUGCUUUUGAAAUGCAAGGGUUGGGUAGACCAAGAAAGGAGCUAGAGGAUCAUGAAGAGCUAGACCCUCCUGAAAGUGAAGAUAAAGAACUUGAUGAGGGGUUCUGGGAAGAACUAUUGAAUGAGAGAUUUGGCUGUCCAUCAAGCCUACCUGGUGCUGAAGGAGAGGAAGAAGAAGAUGUGAAUGUCCUGGCUGGCCGAUUUGGUUACCUGGGCUCCAGCCCACAGUAGGAACCCAUUCUGCACCAAUAGUCUUCUACCCCCAGUUUUCUUCAUCAGUUGCCUUUUUACUUCACUUCAAUGGCUGUUUCUUUUGGUAGGAGGUUUUCUCUAGUUGUUUGGUUAAUCCCUGUCUCAUUUUGUAACCCUACAAGUGUCAUUAGACCAUAACUUUCAUCUGGGUUUCUCUCUAUUGACAGGAUACGAGGAUUACCAAGCAGUGUAUCCUCACCAAAUAUUAGCCCUACUGUUCUAACUCUUGUAUAUUUUCUUCUAAAUUUUCUUUCACUCUCCCUUUUUUUCUUUCUCGUACACUCCUCUUUUCAAUUCCUCUAAGUUGCAGGCAUUGCUUGGACAGAGUUUGUGGAAGUUCCCAUCAUAAUUUGUCCGAGGUUCUUGUUUUCUUCCCCAUCGAAACCCACUACUCUCUGCAUCAAAUUCAUUGACUAUGAUUAUUUAUCUUUGGCCUAAAACAAUUCGUACGUUGUUCGAACCUGCUGAACUUGAGAAAGAGUGGCUGCAAGUUGCAAGAGCCUAGAAACCACAAUAAAUUGAAGCUUCUGGAACCCAGUAGCAAAUGGUUUCAACAAGACAAAGAAUGAAAGAUGGUCGGUGAUGAAUUUGAUGAUGUGAAGAAUAUAGAUGGCCUGCAGAGAGAUAUAGGGGAAAAGAUGCAUAUGAAAAGGUGGUAGAGUCACUGUGUCGAGGUGGAACUAUGCUCUGUGUCCCUGCACUUGGGUCUAUUCUGAAAGUUUCAUUUGUGUGUGCAAUCUUGGGAUACUGAUGAAGAUGGUUCUGCUAAAGGUUGCCAUUGGUCUAGCAUACAUGUUCUGUAAUUCCUGUACUUUUUUCCUAAAUGAAAUUUGUUCAGAACC